UUCCUGCUUCGGAUGUACAAGGACCUACUUUCCUGUUUGUGCUUCGCCAAGCUCCGACAGCUGUGACUGGCUAGCCUUCUCUGGGGUAGAAAAGAGCUCCUGGCUGCAUGCAUCUCUGACCUCCGGGUCGUCCUCUGUCUCUGGGCCCCCC